rnacentral:lncRNA from 1 species
AGAAAAAACCUAUAAUUAUCUUUCAUUUUUUCAAGCUCUUCAUAAUCACCACCUCAAACGUUUAUCCCAAUCUCCCUAUCCUUUUUCUUCUUUUGGUUGGUUUUCAUCUUCAAGAUUAUACGUAACUGUUUCCUCCAUCAAAUUACUCAUUUAGUUUUUGAAGCAUUUCAAUUCUGAAAUCAUAAACAGAGAUGGAGAAUUGUACCUUCACUGGGUUGUUGAAGAAGGCGGCUUCUGAAUUUCCUCGCUGCCGGGCUCUCUCCGUCUCCGGAAAGUUCGACUUGACCCAUGAGCGGUUGCAGGAGCUCAUUGAACAUGCUGCCGCUCGUUUGGUGGAUGCCGGAGUUAAA